AGCUGACAAAUAUCUCUCCCUCCUCUCUCUCUCUCUCUAGAACCUUCUCUCUCCAUUUUUAUAUCCCUCCCCGUCCCUCUCCGUUGGCUUCUCGGUAACAGAACAACCUCGAAGGCAUUAUUGAUUCGAUGGAAGGAAUGAAAGUGAAGGAGGAGGAGGAGGAGGAAGCGGGUUUGCAGCCGGGCACGGCGUCGCCGCAGCCGAUUGAGGGGCUGCACGAGGUGGGGCCGCCGCCUUUCCUGACCAAAACCUUCGAAAUGGUGGAAGACCCGGCCACGGAUCCGGUGGUGUCGUGGAGCAGUGGCCGGAACAGCUUCAUCGUCUGGGACUCUCACAAAUUCGCCACCACUCUGCUCCCGAGGUACUUCAAGCACAGCAAUUUCUCCAGCUUCAUCCGCCAGCUCAACACUUAUGGGUUCAGAAAAGUCGAUCCAGAUCGAUGGGAAUUUGCAAAUGAAGGGUUUUUGGGAGGACGGAAGCAUCUUCUGAAGACCAUCAAGAGGAGAAGAAAUGUCUCACAUAGCACCCAACAACUAGGAGUAGGAGGGGCUUGUGUAGAAUUGGGACAAUAUGGCAUGGAAGAAGAGCUCAAAAGACUGAGGAGGGACCGGAAUGUGUUGAUGGGGGAAAUUGUGAAGCUAAGGCAGCAGCAACAGGCUGCGAAGGACAAGGUAAUCGCUAUGGAGGAAAGGAUACGAGGCACGGAGAGGAAGCAUCGACAGAUGAUGAAGUUCCUUGCCAAAGCCCUUGCUAGUCCUUCCUUUGUCCAGCAGUAUAUGGGCAAGUAUGUACAGAGAAGAGAACAGCCAGGCGUUGAGAUUGGACAAAAGAGGAGGUUAACAAUGAGCCCAAGUGUGGAGAACUUGCAAGGGGUGGCGUCUCUUGCUAUGGGAAGUGGCCAAGAACAAGAAGAGCUCGUAAAUAUUGAAUCAGAGAUGGAGAGACUGUUCACAGUGGCAUUGGAUGAUGAAUCCUGCAGUGAAAUUAUGGACUCAAAUGUCGCGGCGAGUAGUACCAAUAUGGAAUCUGUUAAUGAGUCUAUCUGGGAGGAGCUCUUCAUUGAAAAUAUUGCAGCUGAGAAUGGAGAAGGAGACGUCUUGGUGCUUGAUCAAUCAGAACUCGAUGUCGAAGCCGAGGAUUUGGUGGCAAAAACUCCAGACUGGGGUGAGGAUAUGCUAGACCUUGUUGAUCAGAUGGGAUUUCUCAGGUCCAGCCCCUGAUCAAGACUCUCACUUUUGCUGAGAUGGAUUGGAAAUUAUUUUAUUGAUGAUUUCCCGUGUUCAAAUUUGGCUUCUGCAACUCCAUCCCUGUUCUUUAUAUUGGGGAAUGGAGAAAGUUGCAGAGAAGCCAAGUCCUCUUCUGUAUCCUUUUACUGUUAAGAGAUCACUUGUUUAAUAAUGCUUUUAUUUUUUGUGAAGAAUUAUAACUGAAUUGUGAUUGUUUGUUCUUUGAUUCUUUGCAGGCAGGAUUGCCAGCGGAAAAUUUUGAGAAAAGUUGUCAUUCCUUGACUCUCCACUCAAAGUCACUUCUCAGUCUCAUGUGUACAUACCGCCAUAUAAAUAUAAGUUCUUGCUUGCAUAUGUAUAGAUAUAUAGACAUAGAAUAGCAGUAGAUGAAGUAUUAUUUUAGUUAUAGUUUAUUAUAAUUAAAAGUUGCCCCUUAAUUUGCCUGUGCUACUCA